AAUAUUUGGUAUUUCCAUAAUCCAUUUAGCAAUAAAAUAUGGGAUAGUU
rnacentral:sRNA from 15 species